rnacentral:rRNA from 1 species
UACGAAGGGUGCAAGCGUUACUCGGAAUUACUGGGCGUAAAGGGUGCGUAGGUGGUUUGUUAAGUCUGCUGUGAAAUCCCCGGGCUCAACCUGGGAAUGGCAGUGGAUACUGGCGAGCUAGAGUGCGGUAGAGGGUAGUGGAAUUCCCGGUGUAGCAGUGAAAUGCGUAGAGAUCGGGAGGAACACCAGUGGCGAAGGCGGCUACCUGGACCAGCACUGACGCUGAAGCACGAAAGCGUGGGGAGCAAACAGG